UGUUUGUUUCCGUCGGUCUGCGCGCGUGUUGCGCUAAGGCGCGACGUGCGCGCGCUGGCGGAAUGAAAUUUUGGGCUGGAUGCCGUGUGGCCUUCACUGGUUGUGCGGCAGGCGGCCCAUCGUUUACUGUGAGAAAAUUAGAGUGUUCAAGGCAGGCGUUUGUAAUUGAAUAUGUUAGCAUGGAAUAAUGAGAUAUGGCUCCCGUGUCUUGUUGGUUUUGUGAUGUGGAAGUAAUGAUUGAUAGGGACGGUUGGGGGUGCUAGUAUUCAACGGCCAGAGGUGAAAUUCAUGGAUUCGUUGAAGACUGACUUUUGCGAAAGCAUU
rnacentral:rRNA from 1 species